rnacentral:tRNA from 1 species
GUUAAUGUAGCUUAACAUCAAAGCAAAGCACUGAAAAUGCUUAGAUGAGCCCAUUCGCUCCAUAAACA